UGAAUUAUGGGGGUGAGUCUUUCCUAUUUAUUUGUGUGAUUUUUUUUUAGGAUAGUGACAUUGUAUUAGUUAGGAUUCUCCAGAGAAACAGAACCAAUAGGAUAUGUGUACUUAGGUGCAUUUAUUUGUGUAUAUUUGUUAAAGAGUAUUAUAAAGAGUUUACUCACACAAUUAUGGAGGUUGGAAAAUCCCAAGAUCCACAGUCAGUAAGCUGGAGACCCAGGAGAGCU
rnacentral:lncRNA from 1 species